CUGCAGGGAUAAAUUUGGGCAGUCAGGCUCCUGGCUGAAUCCAGGACUUAUCUGGUCCUGGGUGUACCCAAAGCCCAACUGUAUGGGGCUGUAC
rnacentral:pre_miRNA from 1 species